CGUAAUGAACUAGUUGAGGUCUUUGCUGGCCUGUUUGAAUGGUGCAGUAUUGGCCUCCUACUACUACCCGGAAUAAUAAUGGACCAAUCUUGCAAUCUUUACUCAGGCAAGUAGUCCUAAGUAAUCAAAAUGAAUCGUAUCCUGAUCUUGGUUCCUAAAGCCUGAGGAGUUCCACUGAAGUCCUUUGAAUUACUUUAGAUUUGCAGAAUGUCACCCGUUGACUUCAAUGGGCCUGCUAGCAUGUAGAAGAACUACUCCCCAGGUAGUGGUGGGGCAGGAAUGAAGCCGAUAACAAUACUUGGCACUUCUCAUCUUCAAAAUGUUUGACAAACAUUAACGUGCCUGAGUCAGCACCUCCCCAAGGGUAGCUAUUAUCGCCCUUAGUGCAGAUGGAAAACGCAAGCAGAGCAGUCAAGUGACUAGAUGGCUGUUAUUAAAGCUGGGUUUAUAAAUGCAGACCAUUUCCCCUCCUAGUUCUAUAAGUAAUAUGGCAACAUCCUCUUGCAUCUAAUCUCAAAGGGCCAGACUUGUGACCUACACAAAAACCUAGCAACCUGCCCACAUUCAUUGCAACUAGUAACGUGCUAUGUACUACUGAUGGCCACACCGUUAGUGCUGGGCGGAUGGACGAUGUGGAAGCCCAAUGUACAUGGCAAUUGUGCUGGAGGAAACCUUAGUGCAGGGCUGAGCUUAGGGCUUGAGCAGUAAAGUGGUGCUUUACUGAGCGAAGUUAAUUGGCUGCCUGAGCAGAGGGGAAAGAAUGAUAAAAGGAGCAGCCCUGCGCUUACAUCCCCUCCCUCCUGCCAGUUCAUCUACAGGGAGGCAUUUCUGGCAGAUAUGGUGAUGACCAUGUUUUGCUUAUAGAAGGUUUGAACAUUUUGGGCUGGACCCUGAAAUUCUUAUUUAUGGGAGCUGUUCCAUUGACGUCAAAGGCUACUCACACAGGUAAAGUUUACAGGAUUAGGUCCUAAGUCUAUUGUAGCAGAGCAUCCACCAAAAUUAGUUGUGCCAUCUUCAGAGUCCAGCGGUGAGAUGCCAAUUAAUAGGAGCUGCGUGGCUAGAUCCCGGUACACCCCAGGUUUGCAGGGCGGGAGUCCUGGGUGCAUGGGAAGUUGGAAUGGGAGUUUUUACUUGAAUGUCUCCAAACAGUUUGACUUCUCUUCCAUUUGAGAGGCAUGAGAAGGUUUUUAUUUUCAUGAAUUCGCUUGCCCAGCCAAGACCAUCAGAAGAGGUCUGAGUGUGACUAAGCGUCACAGCCCAGAGCCUGGGUUGGUGUGUAAGAUGCAUUGCCCCAGGAGGCACUGUGCCUACAGACGCCCCUCUGGGUCACAAUUCCUCCCUCUCUCCAGGGGAUAGGUGAGUAUUAAUUUACAGCUGGCUUAUUAUGAUAGAAGCAAAUUAUGGCAGCCAGCAGCUGCAGAAUAUAUAUAUAUAAUAUAUAUAUAGAGAAUAUAAAUGUUCCACCUAAAGUUACUCAGUAGAAGCAUCUUUACAUAAAGGCUACAAUCACCUGGGGCUGCUAAGUGGCCUAAGCAAGGAAGGAAUCGCUUAGGUUGCCUAAGCUAAGUGUAACAUCUACCAUCACAUAAAACAUACUCAAGACCUCCUCAUCAGUACAAGAGCUAACAGAGUUCGUGUUCUUUCUCUCCCUUAGACCCAACCAUCAAUAUACGCUUCCACCUCUGACUGAGGGAAAAGGAAACAAAGAAAAAAAGACAACCAAGGCUGGUGCACAAAGGAGCAAGUUACCGUGUCUAGUUCAGCUUCCAAACUGCAGUUUUUAAUCUGUGGCAAUAAUUCUGCAUACUGGUUUGGACCUGUUGUUAUGUCACUGUGCAUACCUGCAAAUGAUUGACAUCAUGAAAAAAGAAAAGGAUUUCUGCUUGUUCAGUCUUUUCACCAGUAUUUUCUACCACCAGACUGAAGGUGGCAUGUCAGGAAUGACCAGUGAGUACAAAUCACCUGCACCUCUAUCUACUUCAACUGAGCCUGCAAUCUGAUACUCAGAUUUGUGCCCACAACUGAACUGUGGGCAAAACUAUUGAUUGGACAUAUGUUUUGAGGUUGUAAAUUGUAUCUACAAAAAGGCUGUCUGCAAAAUUUGGCCCUCGGUAUUUGCGCUUUCCAAAAUUCUUGUUUGUUUGCUAUUUUGAUAAUCUGUUCGGAUAAUUCCUGGGAUGAUGUACCAUGAGAGCCCUUGACACUGAAGAG